ensembl:lncRNA LINC02465 long intergenic non-protein coding RNA 2465
AAGGAGAGGAGACUGCAUAGGGUGUGACUAUCAGGAACCAUGGCUCACUGGAGCACCAUCUUUGGAGUCUAGCUAACACAGCAUCUUGGAUGCACUCCUAAGAGAAGACUACCUGAAAGGCGUGUACACUGGUCUAGCAGUUGAGAUCAGCUAGUGUUCCAUCUAUCUUCUGUCAUGUAUCUCUUCUAAGAUGUCUUGAUCGACUGACCCCAAAGCCAGAGGGUACCAGGUCAAAAAGCAAGAAAACAAACAAUACUGACAUUAGAGAGAAGCAAAGUUUCUAUAGAAAACCUAUUACACUGUGGUAUAAAUCAAGAUGAACCUGCAGACAUCUAUUUUAGUUUGGAAGUCUGGAAAAGUUCAAGAUUGGCCAUCUGCAGCUGGUGAGAGCCUCAGGCUGCUUCCCCUCAUGGUGGAAGGUGAAGGGGAGCUGGUGUGUGCAGAGAUUACAUGCUUUUCUAGGUCAUCAUUCUAGGCUUUGUUGAAGCAUGCAUUUUUGGCAUGAGGGUGGCAGCCUUUGCACUAUGUGCAUGGCUGAGGAGUUAGGAUCUGGAGGGUGAUGAAAGCAAAGGUGCUGCUGGUUACUCUUGGUUCAUCUAGCAAUAGAUGAUCUGAAUGUUAGAGUUCGCCAAAUAUUGUUCCUGGGCAGUCUUUGCUCUACCAAAUCAACUUUCUCCAUGGGGGAGCUAGAAGUCACCCCACAUUCUCCGCCAUGGCCAGCUCUACAUUCUAAGAGAACCAAUGGCUCUACCCAACAUAUUCUUCUCACCACAGAUGACAAAGACACAAGGAGCCAAGACAGAUCAUUCAAGCAUAUUCAUUGCCUCUAUCUUCAUCCCAUUAAAUAACAUCCCGCCAACCAAAGCAAGUUAUCUGCAUAAGAAUAAAUAUUCCACCUACUCUACUGCAAGGCCCUGCAAGAGUCAUGAGACAAAAGGAUCCUCUGUGGACAGCACCCAAGAUGGAAACAACUGACAGUCUAUGGCCAGGGCUAUACUCUGGUGAAACUGAAAGGUGUCUGCAUGGAAGUGUCUGACUACCACCAUCCACUCAGGCAAAUGCAUUUGUUUCCCUCUAUUCAUUAUUAGAAGAGAGGAGAUUACAUACCAGACAUAUACCAAUAGGUUUUCUCUUCAUAAUACCUACGUCAUCUAGUAGCAUAACAUAAGGCAGAAUCCUUCAAAGGUUGACUCCUAGAGAUGGAAGAGCUGUAAGCAGAGACAGAAAAGUAUGUUUUCACACAAACUCUUUGGCUCAUUAGCAGAUGGCAGCAAUGAGCCAAUAAAAUAUAUUUUUCUCCUUUGA